CCCCUUUAAAAGUGUCCUGUACCAAGUCAGGAAGAUGGCCAUUGUUAUAUUAUUGUUCGUUUCUGUGUGUGUUGCAUUUUAACGUUGAGUCGUUUGUGUUUUCUCUUAUUUUUUAGAUAUUGAGAUCAGACGUGGCACGGUACUUGUCUAUCCCAAAUUCAUGUAUUUGGUUUUCUUGUUAUAUUUGUUAUUCUCGUGGUGUUUUGUCUGAUGCUUGGUCCGUUUCUGUGUGUGUUACGUUUCGGUGUUAUGUCGUUGUUCUCUUAUAUUUAAUGCGUUUCCCUCGGUUUUAGUUUGUUACCCCGAUUUUGUUUUUUGUCCCUGGAUUUAUGAGUUUUGAACAGCGGUAUACUACUGUUGCCUUUAUUUAUG
rnacentral:lncRNA from 1 species